rnacentral:rRNA from 1 species
GUGUCAGCAGCCGCGGUAAUACGAAGGGGGCUAGCGUUGUUCGGAUUUACUGGGCGUAAAGCGCGUGUAGGCGGGUCGUUAAGUUGGGGGUGAAAUCCCGGAGCUCAACUCCGGAACUGCCUCCAAAACUGGCGACCUGGAGCAAGAUAGAGGCGAGUGGAAUUCCGAGUGUAGAGGUGAAAUUCGUAGAUAUUCGGAGGAACACCAGUGGCGAAGGCGACUCGCUGGAUCUUUGCUGACGCUGAGACGCGAAAGCGUGGGGAGCAAACAGGAUUAGAAACCCGAGUAGUCC